AGUGAACGCUGGCGGUAGGCCUAACACAUGCAAGUCGAACGGCAGCACAGGAGAGCUUGCUCUCUGGGUGGCGAGUGGCGGACGGGUGAGGAAUACAUCGGAAUCUACUCUGUCGUGGGGGAUAACGUAGGGAAACUCACGCUAAUACCGCAUACGACCUACGGGUGAAAGCAGGGGAUCUUCGGACCUUGCGCGAUUGAAAGAGCCGAUGUCGGAUUAGCUAGUUGGCGGGGUAAAGGCCCACCAAGGCGACGAUCCGUAGCUGGUCUGAGAGGAUGAUCAGCCACACUGGAACUGAGACACGGUCCAGACUCCUACGGGAGGCAGCAGUGGGGAAUAUUGGACAAUGGGCGCAAGCCUGAUCCAGCCAUACCGCGUGGGUGAAGAAGGCCUUCGGGUUGUAAAGCCCUUUUGUUGGGAAAGAAAUCCAGCUGGCUAAUACCCGGUUGGGAUGACGGUACCCAAAGAAUAAGCACCGGCUAACUUCGUGCCAGCCGCCGCGGUAA
rnacentral:rRNA from 1 species